CCUACGGGUGACAGCAGUGAGGAAUAUUGGUCAAUGGGCGCGAGCCUGAACCAGCCAAGUCGCGUGAGGGAAGACGGUCCUAUGGAUUGUAAACCUCUUUUGUCGGGGAGCAAAAGACGCCACGCGUGGCGUUCCGAGAGUACCCGAAGAAAAAGCAUCGGCUAACCUCGUGCCAGCAGCCGCGGUAAUACGGAGGAUGCGAGCGUUAGCCGGAUUUAUUGGGUUUAAAGGGUGCGCAGGCGGAAGAUCAAGUCAGCGGUAAAAUUGAGAGGCUCAACCUCGUCGAGCCGUUGAAACUGGUGUGCUUGAGUGAGUGAGAAGUAUGCGGAAUGCGUGGUGUAGCGGUGAAAUGCAUAGAUAUCACGCAGAACUCCGAUUGCGAAGGCAGCAUACCGGCGCUCAACUGACGCUCAUGCACGAAAGUGUGGGUAUCGAACAGGAUUAGAUACCCGGGUAGUC
rnacentral:rRNA from 1 species